AACGGUAACAGCUCAAAUUUGAAAUCUGGCUCUUGCGGAGUCCGAGUUGUAAUUUGUAGAAGAUGCUUUGGGUUGUGGGUUCGGCCUAAGUUCCUUGGAACAGGACGUCAUAGAGGGUGAGAAUCCCGUAUGUGGCCGAGGCCCGCGCCUAUGUAAAGCUCUUUCAACGAGUCGAGUUGUUUGGGAAUGCAGCUCAAAAUGGGUGGUAAAUUUCAUCUAAAGCUAAAUAUGGGCCAGAGACCGAUAGCGCACAAGUAGAGUGAUCGAAAGAUGAAAAGCACUUUGGAAAGAGAGUUAAACAGUACGUGAAAUUGUUGAAAGGGAAGCGCUUGCAACCAGACUUGGGCGCUGCCGAUCACCUUGAGUUUUCUCGAGUGCACUCGACAGCGCACAGGCCAGCAUCGGUUCGGGUGGCUGGAUAAAGGCCGUAGGAAUGUGGCUCUCUUCGGGGAGUGUUAUAGCCUACGGUGCCAUGCAGCCCAGCCGGACCGAGGACCGCGCCUUCGGGCUAGGAUGCUGGCGUAAUGGUUGUAAGCGACCCGUCUUGAAACACGGACCAAGGAGUCUAACAUCUAUGCGAGUGUUUGGGUGGUAAACCCAUACGCGGAAUGAAAGUGAACGUAGGUGAGAACCCCUUUGGGGCGCAUCAUCGACCGAUCCUGAUGUCUUCGGAUGGAUUUGAGUAAGAGCUACU
rnacentral:rRNA from 1 species